UCUGCUUUCUUUUCUACCGGAGGCCGGGAAGAUGGCGGACAUUCAGACUGAGCGAGCCUACCAAAAGCAGCCGACCAUCAUUCAAAACAAGAAGAGAGUCCUGUUGGGAGAAACCGGCGAGGAGAAGCUCCCUCGGCACCACAAGAACAUCGGUGUGGGUUUCAAGACUGCCAAAGAGGCCAUUGAGGGCACCUACAUUGGCAAGUAAUGCCGGUUCACUAACGUCUCCGAGGGCGGAUCUAGUCUGGCGCGGUGACCAAGAUGAAGAUGCAGAGGACCACUGUCAUCCGCCAAGACAUCCGUCUCCAUUACACCCGCAAGUACAAUCGUUUUGAGAAGCGCGCUUAUCUGUGCACCUGUCCCCCUGCUUCAGGAAUGUCCAGAUCGGAGAUACUGUCACAGUGGGCGAAUGCCGGCCCCUGAGCAAGACGGUGCGCUUCAAAGUCACCAAAGCUGCUGGCACCAAGAAGCAGUUCCAGAAGUUCUGAGACUGGAUAUGUGCCCACGCC